AUUGAACGCUGGCGGCAUGCCUUACACAUGCAAGUCGAACGGUAACAGGUCUUCGGAUGCUGACGAGUGGCGAACGGGUGAGUAAUACAUCGGAACGUGCCUAGUAGUGGGGGAUAACUACUCGAAAGAGUGGCUAAUACCGCAUGAGAUCUACGGAUGAAAGCAGGGGAUAGCAAGACCUUGUGCUACUAGAGCGGCCGGUGGGAGAUUAGGAAGUUGGUGGGAUAAAAGCUUACCAAGCCGACGAUCUGUAGCUGGUCUGAGAGGACGAUCAGCCACACUGGGACUGAGACACGGCCCAGACUCCUACGGGAGGCAGCAGUGGGGAAUUUUGGACAAUGGGCGCAAGCCUGAUCCAGCAAUGCCGCGUGCAGGAUGAAGGCCUUCGGGUUGUAAACUGCUUUUGUACGGAACGAAAAGCCCUGGGUUAAUACCCUGGGGUCAUGACGGUACCGUAAGAAUAAGCACCGGCUAACUACGUGCCAGCCGCCGCCGUAA
rnacentral:rRNA from 1 species